CCUUGCCAACAGUUGCAACUGACACUUGGACCUUAGCUCCGACAAAGGCUGAAGUGACAGCCGAAACUGUCAUCUAGUUAAGAGUUUUUCUCUUCACUUCAA